UCUUUUUUUUUUUUGAUAUUGAACUUUAUUUAUUGUACCACAUUGCAUUGAAAAUUUGGUUUAAAAAUGUCUCAUGAACAGCAACAAUCCUGAAUUUGUAACUUUCCUGAAUUAUAGCUAAAUGUCUAUAUUCAGCUUUGAGCAGUUUUAGUAAAUCAAAUCAAAUGUAACAAUUAUGAUUAUCCCUAUUGAUGUUCUAACAUUGUGACGUCCACAAGGGAAGAGAGUUCAGAAAGUGAACACAUUUCAACCCGCCCUUUUGAAGGGACCCACUGAUGCCUCAGAUCAAAUCACAGUGGCUUAAAGUCAGGUUUGUGUGACUUUGGCACCAACUUGGAAAUGGCUUGGUCACCAGAGAGGUUAACAAACAACUGUCCCAUAUAUACCACAUUUAUCUUCCACAUCUGUAUGUCUUCUGUCACAGCAGCAUUUGAUACAGGGCUUGGAGUGCUUGUGGUUCAUCAGUGGUGGGAGAGGUCUUUGGUGAAAGGGCGUGAGGUAGUCUGAUCCCACAGGGAACUCUGGAAAAGGAGCAGGAGCAGGAGCAGGACUUGUACUACAAAAUCAGUCCCCUUUGUACUCCGGUUCCAGGCAGCUUAUGGCUGCAGGCCACAGGCUUCAUGGGCAGUGAGCUCAAUGUCCCUAACAGCCAACUUUGUAGCAACUUAGGAGAUGACUGCCACAGCCUGUUAAAGGAGAUGUGGGCCGUGCCCAUCAGCAACCAUUUUCUGCGGAUGUUUGCUGCUUACUUUCGCCGUGUUAGAGAAACAAAGUACUGGGCCAAAUCAGAGUAGAAAAAAGUUCUUAUCUAGAUGAUUGGAUCAGGAAAGGUUUUUGUCUCACUGUCACAGACUAAACUUCUCACUCCAGCCAUCACUUGGCCACAGGGGCAUCAUAAGAAACAUGCAAAUUUUCACUACUACUGGAAAAGUGAUUCCUACCACAACAAGAAAAAAUGUUUUCUGCAAAUAGGCAUCCAAGCUACUUGUUAUUAUUUAACCUGUUAAUGCAGUACCACUCUUCAGAAGCAACCUAGGUAAUUAACACAUUGCAUGGACCCCAAACAAGAACAUGGGUUGAUUCAAAUCACCACCUUUAACAUAUUUUCAAAACCAUCUGAGAAGGAUUUGGGGGAACGAUUCAAGGCAUUCUUAAUCACUGCCUACUGUCCAACUUCCUUUAUAUAACACCUCUUAGAUCUAAACCGAAUUCUCCCUUCCCAGUACCCCUUUCCAAGGCCUUAUGUCUUCAUACCUAGAUCAGUAUAGUUUCACCUGCCACUAACUCUGGGACAAAUCCCAAGGACUAGCUCCAUCUCGAGUCAGCCUGAGCUUGGACACUGGUCCUGGGCUUUGUCUUGUUCUUUGUGUACAGGACAUCAUCUACCCCAGUUCCGGAAAUGAGACCAAUACUUUCUCCAAUGCCUGAUUUCCUGCUUUAGUUCCCACUUAGAUGCCCCAGGUCCCUUAGGAAUAGGUCCUUGUGCCCCUGAGUCCAUUUGGAGAUUUGCCCACUCACCAGUCCUGUGGCUUCCUGCUGCCUAGUGACAGCCUCCUUGGGCCACAUGCCACAUGCCCACUCACCUGCCUGCCUGCAUCUGCACCUAAGGUCGACUGCCAGACAGCUCUCCUUCCCACAGAAUGGGAAGAACAGAUGGAAUAGUCUUGACAAAGUGGUGUAAAGAGAGAAAAUGCCAGCUACACUGCAAUAGGAAAUGAGAGUUAAACUCCUUUAUGAGAAAAGGGAGUUGCUAAAAAUGGAGGCCAUGGAAAGGGGGAGGCUGCCCUCCUUCCAUCCUGAUGGUUGCUGUCAGUGGGACUACAGAACACAGCCAUUGAGGGCUUGUGUCCUGGGAUGAGACCUGACUUACAGCCCAGCGCACCACUCACUAACAGCUAAGAGAGGACAAACACAUCACCCACCAGGUUCAGGUCCCCAUCUGUAAAGUAGGAGUAAUAGCACUCUGUCCUCCCAGCUACUUCUCUUGCUGGAAUUCAAAGAGAUACAAUAUGUAAAGUCUCUUACAAUUGUUCCUUAAGCAUAGGCCUGAUACACAAGAAAUGCUCAAUAAAUAGUAAUAUGCAUCAGUUCCAGAGGAAGAGAUACACGUAGAGUAGAUUUUUUGUAGGGGAGAGAGAAGAUCAUGUAUUUAGAAUAAAAGCCUAGGCUAGAUGAUUCAGCUUGUAAAAGAUCAAUAAAUUCAGAAAACGUGGAAGUGACAGAAAUCAGCAAGGUGAAAACUGGAGCAGAAAUCUGAGUCCAGAGCAGAAAGAAGAGUGCAAGAAUGGCAGCCUUGGGAUUGGGAGUGUUGGGAGACGCAGAUCAGCAGGUUGAGGAGGAAAGCUGAAAUUGAACCAGAAAGGUCGGAGAGCUAGGGGGAGUGGGACCCGGCUGUGGUUUAGGGAAUAAAUGCACUGUAAAAUGCCCCCAAGGCAGCAGAGAAAGCUAUGAGAGAAAAAGGAAAGGGGAAUCGAAGAAUAGGGCACAUUUUAUUGGAAGGGCAGUGAAUAGAGGGAGGCUCAACAAAGUAUUCGAAGCAAUUGGGGGAAGAGAGAGAAUGAUAGGGAAGUCCAUAGAGGGAGAGGUAAACAAGCAGUCAGCUGUGAUAGAGAGAAGAGGCAAUGAAGAAACAUAAUAAUAUAUAAUGCUAUUUCGAAACAACAGCUGGGAAUAGGGAAUUCAUAGCGAAGCGAUAAAUACCAGCAAUGAGGGAAGUAAAUACCAUUAAAAUGCACAAUAGUUAAUAACAAUGAAGCCAAAGUGGGGGGAGCAAUUAAUAAAUUAACAAACAAUAACAUAAAGUUUAAAAUGAACAGAGGGAAAAACAAGGUUACAAGUAUGACCAGUUAGUGAGAGAAGGGCAGGGUUCCUUGGAGGAGUAACAGGGAAGGAUGAUUCAACUGUAUUGCAGAAGUACAGGCUCCAGGCUCUGCACAGCUAAGAGAGGAGAGGACAGGGUCCAUUCAAACACAAACAAAUGGAUGGAAGAGCGGUGCAUAGCAAAUGCUGCUCCCAGCUCUCUCCACAUUGCUGCGGUCCCCAUAGCUACUCAUCUACCACCAUCACAAAUAAAAAUGGCCUCAGGGAACGGCUGCCUAGAUUGUGCUGCUAAUGGUGCACAAAUAUGUAAGACUUUAUUCUAAAGGUGGUCUCUAAAAAUAACGACUAGGGAACUGUCUUAAAAAUGUAGAUCCUGGAGCAGGUCACAGACCUCAUUCUGAGAUUCAGUGUCUUCUCUGCUCCCAAGCCACAUCUCCACCUCAAUACAUCUUUCUGAGUGGUAUUGGGAGUGAGUAGGAAUCCCCAAGCCCAGGUAGGGAGUCCCUAGUAACCAUAUUGACUCCCAUCAGUCGUGAUUUCAUAGACCUGAAAGCCUCAGUCAUCAUGAGAGCAUCUCACCCUCAGGAUAGUUUCUACCUAUAUGGUUUCCUUUAAAUAUUUCUCUGCUUUUUUAACACAAAUCUUGAAUUUAGAAGGGCUUCAUUUCUUUUCCAAAGCACAAGUAAAGGCUUCUGUAAUUUUGGGUCAGAUAAUAUUUUCUACUCCUGGGAGAGCACCUCACCCUCAGGAAAGUUUCUACCCAUAUGGUUUUUAAAUAUUUCUCUACUUUUCUAACAUAAUUCUUGAAUUUAGAAGGGCUUCAUUUCUUUUCCAAAGCACAAGUAAAGGCUUCCGUAAUCUUGGGUCAGAUAAUAUUUUCUACUCCAGGGAACACCUUGAAUUCUUUAUUGCUGUUAUAUAAUUUCAGUCACUUUCUUCUAAAACAGUGAGACAUUCUCCAGAAUCAUGCCAUAUUUUCUUCUUGUUUAGUUUUCUCAUUUUCUCUCUCUCCUUCCUCUCUUCUCUCCUGCUUCCACCCCUCGGUGUGUUCAGCAAGCAGUUCGCACUGUGGAAGAUGAUGGUUGUAUGCUGUGCUGCACUUACUCCUUAAACAUCCUCAAAAAUGAUUUUCUGCAUCAUAACAGGAACACUUACAGAUAUCUUAGUGAUGACACGGAAAAUCUGAACACUUCAGCCAUUCUGUCAAUGUUUGAGAAAAAAAUAUUCCUGACCCAGCUCUAGCUGAAAAGCAACUUGCUGAAACAUCACCUAAAACAGGAGGUUCCAAUUCAUUGGAACUCAACUUAUUACACGCUUGAGCAACUACUGGAACAAGAAAAAGCUGUGCAAGAUUUUGCAGGCCAGGGUGAGAACAAAAAAAAAAAAAAAAGAAAAGAUAUUCUUUUAACCUUGACUCAGUGGAGUCUGACAAGCUAUGUCAGUAUCAUCCUCCUCCUUGGGAAGUCACUGCUGACAAAGCAAGUCUGGGCUAGGGGGUUUCACUACUGAUCAGGUGUCUGUAACUCUUGGUCAAAUAAAUGUCAAUUUAAUUUGAAGUCAAGAAAGUACUCCUAAGAUUCACACCCAGGCAAGCCUUCCAGUGACUUGGGAAGGAAAUGUUGGUCUAGGUUAUCUUUCUUCACAAUUCUUUUCUUUUCUGAGAUGGAGUCUCACUCCAUCGCCCAGGCUGGAGUGCAGUGACGCCAUCUCGGAUCACAGCAACCUCCACCUCCCUGGUUCAAGCAAUUCCCCUGACUCAGCCUCUCAAGUAGCUGGGAUUACAGGCACGCACCACCACGCCCAGAUAAU
rnacentral:lncRNA from 10 species